UACGUAGGGUGCGAGCGUUAAUCGGAAUUACUGGGCGUAAAGUGUGCGCAGGCGGUUUCGCAAGUCAAGUGUGAAAGCCCCGGGCUUAACCUGGGAACUGCGCUUGAAACUACGGACUCGAGUAUGGCAGAGGAAGGUGGAAUUCCACGUGUAGCGGUGAAAUGCGUAGAGAUGUGGAGGAACACCGAUGGCGAAGGCAGCCUCUGGGCCAAUACUGACGCUCAUGCACGAAAGCGUG
rnacentral:rRNA from 1 species